CUUUGGAGUGGCCGCUCCUGGCCUGCCAGGAGCUGAUUCAACGGCCGGGACCGGGCACUACAGGUGCACUCGGCACGGACAAUAGACGCUUGUUGUACAUAACCCAUGCUUGGCUGAGACUGACCACUGGGGUCAGGUGGAAACAAUGCCCCGAGGAGUGUGGGGCUGGAAAGUUUCCUCUCCAACUGUUGAAUGCUGGUCCAGGACUUCUAUCAGCUCUGUCCCUGUCCUUCCAGCCCUAGGAGGCUACCAGACUGAUGGAGGAGGCUCAAAAAGUUCAAGCAGCCUUCAUCCUGGUAGGUGUUCCCAUGACCCUGUAUCACAGUCCCCAUUCCAGAAG
rnacentral:lncRNA from 1 species